CAGCCAUACCAUGCUGAAUAUACCGAUCACCGAAGUCAAGCAUCAUUGGGCGCGGUCAGUACUUGGGUGGGUGACCACCUGGGAACACCGCGUGCCGUU